UCGGGAAUUUUGGGCAAUGGGCGAAAGCCUGACCCAGCAACGCCGCGUGAAGGAUGAAGUAUUUCGGUAUGUAAACUUCGUAAGAAUAGGAAGAAUAAAUGACGGUACUAUUUGUAAGGUCCGGCUAACUACGUGCCAGCAGCCGCGGUAAUACGUAGGGACCAAGCGUUGUUCGGAUUUACUGGGCGUAAAGGGCGCGUAGGCGGUGUGUCAAGUCAGUUGUGAAAUCUCCGAGCUUAACUCGGAACGGUCAACUGAUACUGUCACACUAGAGUACAGAAGGGGCAAUCGGAAUUCUUGGUGUAGCGGUGAAAUGCGUAGAUAUCAAGAGGAACACCUGAGGCGAAGGCGGGUUGCUGGGCUGACACUGACGCUGAGGCGCGAAAGCCAGGGGAGCAAACGGGAUUAGAUACCCCCGUAGUCCCUGAGCGGGCUGGCAAGGCGCAU
rnacentral:rRNA from 1 species